rnacentral:tRNA from 1 species
GGAUAUAUAGCUCAAGUGGUAGAGUGCAUGCUUAGCAUGCAUGAGGUCCUGGGUUCACUCCCCGGUAUCUCCU